GCACCGCCUUAUGAUUGGCCGAGGGGCGGCGCUGGCCCUUUUCUCGUCGGGUCGCAGGAGCCGCUGCCGCCGCCAUGAAUGACACAGUGACCAUCAGAACCAGGAAGUUCAUGACCAACAGACUUCUGCAGCGCAAGCAGAUGGUGAUUGAUGUUCUUCAUCCUGGGAAGGCCACAGUCCCCAAAACAGAAAUCAGGGAAAAGCUGGCAAAAAUGUACAAGACAACCCCUGAUGUAAUUUUCGUCUUUGGCUUCAGAACUCACUUUGGUGGUGGCAAGACAACCGGUUUUGGCAUGAUCUAUGAUUCCCUGGACUAUGCAAAGAAAAACGAACCAAAGCACAGGCUUGCCAGGCACGGCCUGUAUGAAAAGAAAAAGACUUCCAGGAAGCAGCGAAAAGAGCGUAAGAACAGAAUGAAGAAAGUCAGGGGCACAGCCAAGGCAAAUGUUGGUGCUGGCAAGAAGAAGAAGUGAAGUAUCUACAGUAAAUGACCAGAACAUUCUUUGGGUGGAAAACGGAUAACAGGCAGCAUCAUUCCAUGAAGAACUAUAGAAUUAAUUACUCUGGAAAGCAGAAGCUGCUCAUCUGACUAACAUCAAAUAAACUCUGUCAAUAAAAUACUGGUUUGCCCUUUAA